rnacentral:misc_RNA from 1 species
AAAUCCGUCCAUUCUGACUUCUUUAAUGAGUUUGAGGAUUUAUUUGACGAUGAAGAUUUAUCCUGAGCAUCAGUCAGUCACUUAAUAAAUGAAAUGGGGAAAAAAAGAAGAGUGAUAAAAUGGAUAAUCUCACGGAAUAUACAAAUUUUAAACAAAUCAGUCCAAUUUUAAGGCUGUCAAAAAAUUAAAUCUUUGUUUAACAUUACUUGCACUUAGAAUUUGCACUGAACAAAGAGAUUCUCUUGGUUUGGUACGAUGUUGCUACAGGAAACAAAAUUCAGUCAGAAAUUAAGAAUGUGUGUCUUUUUGUGGUUAAUAUUUGUAAACAACAGCAAUGAAUAUACUCAUUUGUUUGCAAAUGUUGUUUUCCCUCUGUAGAAAGUUAUGAUUAUUUUAACGUUUAACAUAGAUUCAAUUUUAGACAACCUAAUGCACAGAAAUGACAAAAUCUAUUUAUACUGCCAACAAAUCUGAUGUGGAUUAUGGAGGAGUUCUGUGUGUGUUUUACUUGUAUGUAUAGUAUAUAUAUUGUGUAUUGACUUUGUACAGUCCACAGACUAUUUCAUUAGCACUAUAUUGUCAGAUCGUAAAAUAAAAAGCCCAAAAAACAAU